CGUAGGGGGCUAGCGUUGUCCGGAAUCAUUGGGCGUAAAGCGCGUGUAGGCGGCCCGGUAAGUCCGCUGUGAAAGUCGGGGGCUCAACCCUCGAAAGCCGGUGGAUACUGUCGGGCUCGAGUACGGAAGAGGCGAGUGGAAUUCCUGGUGUAGCGGUGAAAUGCGCAGAUAUCAGGAGGAACACCGAUUGCGAAGGCAGCUCGCUGGGACGUUACUGACGCUGAGACGCGAAAGCGUGGGGAGCAAACAGGAUUAGAUACCCUGGUAGUCCACGCUGUAAACGAUGGGCACUAGGUGUGGGGGGUGUCGACUCCCUCCGUGCCGAAGCUAACGCAUUAAGUGCCCCGCCUGGGGAGUACGGCCGCAAGGCUA
rnacentral:rRNA from 1 species